CGAAAAAAAAAAUUCACCCCCACUUUACGUGUAGGGGAGGUACCCUAAAAAAAAUUAAAAUUUUAGAUUUUAUUGUACGACUUUGUCGGCUUUAUUGAUUUAUAUAUCCAUGCCAAAUUUCAGCUUUCUAACACUAACGGCCACGGAGCAAAGCCUCGGACAGACAGACAGACAGACAGACAGACGGACAUGGCGAAACUAUAAGGGUUCCGUUUUAUGCCAUUUGGCUACGGAACCCUAAAAAGGCAUAAGCAAGGGGGAAGUUUCGUUAGUUGUUCAGAUGAUUAAGUAUUAUGUAACCAAAAAAUAAUAAUUUCAGGUGACUCGGGGUAUGCUCUUGAGCCAUGGCUCAUGACGCCAGUGCUGAAUCCUGCCCCGGGAAGCCCAGAAGCAAGGUAGGUACACGGUCUGGCACUGUCGCGUGCGCAACACGAUCAAGCGUACCAAUGGGUACCUCAAAAACGUAUUCCGGUGCCUGGGCCACGACCGCGUCUUACACUACAGCCCGACGAAGGCAUCGUCAAUAAUAAAUGCAUGUUGCGUAGUAUACAACAUAAUGCAACAUUAUAGAAAUGUUCCCGAGGAAAUCGUAGGAGAUAUUGAUGAAGACGCUCCUCAAGAACUUCCUCAUCGUCAUGCGCAAAACGGACUACUAUUAAGAGUGGCGCAGGAAAAGCGUGCGCGUCUAAUAAAUACAUAUUUUGCUUA